AAGUCUCACACCCAGGUGUAACCCUUAAAAAUAUAAAAACUCAGACACGAGAGUACGAGGAACAAAUAUGAAUGUAAUU
rnacentral:sRNA from 1 species